GACGAACGCUGGCGGCGUGCUUAACACAUGCAAGUCGAACGAAGUGGCGAACGGGUGAGUAACGCGUAAUCAACCUGCCCUUCAGAGGGGGACAACAGUUGGAAACGACUGCUAAUACCGCAUACUGAAGGAGGGGAUUGCGUCUGAUUAGCUAGUUGGAGGGAUAACGGCCCACCAAGGCGAUGAUCAGUAGCCUGUCUGAGAGGUUGACUGGCCACAUUGUGACUGUGACACGGCCCAGACUCCUACGGGAGGCAGAAGUGGGGAAGCUGCCGAAAUGGACGCAAGUCUGAAGGUGCAAUGCCGCGUGAGUGAGGACGGCGUUCGGGUUGUAAAGCUCUGUUAAUCGGGACGCGGUACCGGAAUAGAAAGCCACGGCUAACUACGUGCCAGCAGCCGCGGUAAUAC
rnacentral:rRNA from 1 species